rnacentral:rRNA from 1 species
UCUGUUCGACCAAUAAAACCUUACAUGAUUUGAGUUAAGACCGGCGUAAGCCAGGUUGGUUUCUAUCCUAAAUAUAUUUUUUUUUAUAGUACGAAAGGACCUAAAAAAUUAAUUUUAUU